AGCAGCAGAGAUGGAAAUGGUGUGAGAGGCAAUCUUUUUCAUGGCUGCUAUGGUAAUUCUUCUUUUAUUCUCUAAACUGAGGUCUAUUCCUUCAUUUAAAUUGGCUGGUUUUCCCCUCAUUUUUGGCUUACAGUCAAAGAAUGCCAACAGUAGAGGACAUACCUUUGGUUUAAAAACAAGAUCCAAGAAUUUAAUUAAAAUGAAUGGUUAUGCAAUGAUGGCUAGAUGCCAGUGGCAAAAUUAACCCACAAUAAAGAGAAAACAAACACUAAUAUCAAGACUGUUGUCAUGGGAGUUUUAGUGAUAACCUCCAACCCUACAGCAAAACAUUUGUGCAAAUACAAUGCUUUCUCUUACUCAUUUUAAGCCACUGAUAGAAAGAAAAAUGAUACAUAAAGGUCUAGUUUACAAACAUUACAUGAACUGAUUUUUUUUCUCUGUUGAAAAUCUCAUGUGUUUGGGCUAUAUCUGUUCCCAACCAUUAGUAAUCAGGCUAUUUCCACAGCUGAAGGAGAAAGAUGCAGUCCUAACACCACUGUAAGCAGGGGGGCUCAGCUGGGGUUGAUGUGUGCGAGUGUCUUUUGUGUCUGUGUAGAUAUAUGUGUCCUUUCCUGAAAGCUCAGGUGCUCUCAGGCGAAGUGUGAAGAGGGUUAUGUGAGGCAGAGAGACAAAGAGUGAGAUACAGAUUUUAGAGCUCAUACAGUGAAUUGCUGCAGAGCGAGCUGAAGCAAGAGGAAGAGGCUGUUGUUAUUUCCAUCCUCACUCGUAUAAGCUUAAGAGACCACACUGCCUGUUUCUUCAGAGUCAAUUCACGUGUCACAUACGCCAUCUUUCCUUUUCUGACAGGCACAAUAUCUGCCUCCAAUAUCCUCAAACAAUGUACAGAUUAUUAGUUUGCUACUGAUGCCGCACUACAAAUUCCCACCAACCAUCCAGUAAAUGUGUAUAAAACAGAGCUCCAACGAUUGGUUGAUUAAUUAGCUGAUAGACAGAAAAUAAAUUUGGCGACUAUUUUGAUAUAUAUUAGUUAAUCAUUUAAGACAAAUGCCAAAAAAUUGAUAGUUCCAGGUUCUCAAAUUUCAGAAUUUGCUGCUUUUCUUGGUCUUUAAUGACAAUUGAAUAUUUUUGGGGUUUUGGACUGUCGGUUGGACAAAACCUUGGGCUCUAGGACAUUGUGAUGGGCAUUCUCCACUGUUUUCUUAUGUUUUAUAGACCAAACAAUUAAUCAAGAAAUGAAUCUGCAGAUUAAUCGAUUUCAGAAAUAAUUGUCAGCCCUAGUAUGUAAUUAAUUAAUUAGAGGCUAAGAAUUAAUAAACAAUCAAGCACAUUAUGGCUGGUAAUACUGCAUUUGUCGUAUCUUUGUUUAAUUUUAUUUAUGUGUGUGCAAGUGCAAGGUCUAUCACCAUACUGGACACAUCGUUGUAAAGACUGGAAUAAACAGCAUUCUGUCUUUUAAUUUUCUCAUUUCUGUGUCUGUUUGCUGAGGCUCCAGUACCCAACCCCAUAGGGAGGCAAUCUCAUAUGAAAAGCCUUUUCAAGUGGUGUACUACUCAAACACAUCAAUUUCACAUUCAAAUCUGUGCUGAAAAAAAAAGGACUAUACUAAGUGGCCAGUGGCUGCUAUUAAGAGCUUGAUGAAUGCAGAAAAAAAUGACUUCAUUAUGUUUGAAUGAUCACUUCUAGUUUUGUAUGUUACUCUCUUGUUGCUUAGUGUAUCAAGAAUAGUUAAAAGAGAAGAAUAUGUUUGACAGCUGGUUAACUCUGUAAGCCUGCCUUUGACCUUCGCAACUGUCUAAUGUGCUUUUGGCAGCGUUUUGGAUAUCCUGUUACUGUGUUGUCAUGCUACUGCAAAACACAAAAGGCAGAGCAAACACGAAUACAACAACAUACAAUUAAAGGAAUCUUUUCAACCUGCUUUAAAUAAAUGCUGAAUACACAAUAAAUAAGCAGAUCACAUAUGUGUUAUGUUUUGUACAUAUUCCAACAUUACAUCCUAAAAUGAGACUGAAAGUCACAAAAAAUACAAUAACAAUGAUGAACUGAAUUUUUUCACUUAAUAUGCUUAAUAGAUUAAUCAUUAGGUCUAUAAAACAUCAGAAAACAGUGAAAAAUGCCCAUUAGAAUAUCCUAGAGGCCAACGCAACAUCAUCAAAUGUCUAGUUGUCAAAAAUAUUCGUUAAACCAUAACGUAAGACCAAUAAAAAUAAUUCAUUCUCACAUUUGAGAACCUGGCAUUUCUGCUUAAAAUGCUCAAAAUAGUUGUCAAUUAAUUUUCUCUCGAUCAACUAAUCUAUUAAUUAACUAAUCACUGCUGCUCAACUUCCAAUUGUUUACAAGGUCUGCUUAUAAGUUCUGGGGACACAAUGCAUAUUGCAUAAGGAAUUUAACAUUGAUUUUCUUGUAAUUCUAUAAGGUAAAUAGUAUAAAGCAACAAAUACUAGAAAUGAAUGGCCAAUACGCUAAAAAUAAUUUUCUCAGUAAAUCAAUGAAUUUCCAGCGUUGACCUGUUGCAAUACACUUUAAACACUAUUAAAAUUCAUGGAUGUGAAACAUAUUGAGUUUAUAGGAAAGAAAGUCAAAUUAUUGGAGUGAUUUUCUGUUGAGGCUCCUCUAGUCCCUUUACAAUUUGCUGCCUUCCACAAUUUUACGAGCUUUUUCAUCCCUCUUAAUAUUCUUGAGCAUCAUCCAAGAAGAAUUAUGUCUUGGACCAUGAAAAAGAAAUAUUCUCUUUACGUAGUGUUGUGCAUUCUUUGUCGUUUAUCUAGCAACCACAAAUAGUAAAGCAUACUCUCAUAAUCUACAUUUCACAUCUGACAGGUUUGUGCGUUGUUUAUUCAGACAGUGCAUAUGGCACACAAGGGUAACCUCAGCACUUCCAGCUUGCAGCCUUCAUGAACACACCAUCCCUGGUGCACAAUGUUGACAGCUACAGCCACCGACUCUUCUUAAAGAGUAACUCAGCUUUACAGCAUAUUUAUCUUUUAGCUCUUAAUGUAUUUGUGCACCUUCCAAUCACUGAAACAUAUCAUUUCAUACCCUUAUUUCAACAUGUUUGAAAAUAUACAUGUCUGACAGUUAAAGAUAAACUAAAAGAGACCCCGCUUCACUCCAUAGAAGAGAAAUUAAGGAUACCCUGUGGACACACCACAGGAGACAAAAGCAAUCUGCAGACUUCCGUGGUGCACAGUGGAGCAAAACUGAUGUAGAUCAAGCUGAGCAAGUCCAAAAGAGGCUUAAAGGCAAGUAUAAUCAUAUGCCAGUUGAACCAAUAUGUUUCUUAUUUUGUUAUUCUUUAACAAAAGGGAAAGUUUAAUCCCUCUCAUCACACACAAUCCACCCACAACCCACUGGCUACCGCUAAAGCAAACAUAUACACUCUACCCUUUUUCCCUCUGUCUUCACCCACCCCUCCAUAGAUGUUCUAGUUCAUCCAACUCAAACAACCCAUUCGCUCCAUCCACUUCACUCCAUCUUUCCCUUUAAGCCCUGGACUGCAAACAAAGGAAAAUGAACAAAGUGGGAUGAGACAAACAGUUUGGUCCGAUCAACAGAAAGAAGAAGACUUUUCAGUCUGCCAAGAGGGAGCCCCUACAAGGCGUAGGACUCUUUCUUCACUAAUUGGAAUGAAUAUCAAUAGUUGAAAAUCAAAAUAGACAUUAGAAAGUACAAAAGACAAACUAGACAUUGCUCUGAAUAAAUUAAAAAAAAUAAUAAAACACCAGGGAUGGUCGAACAGCUGGGUGCAAUAAGAUCUUCAGAGAUGAUCUGAUACCGGUACUCUUCAAUUCCUUUAAUUGGACACUUGAUAAAACAUCUCUUCCACUUUCAUGGAGAGAAGUGAUAAUUACUGCUUUAACAAAAAAAAAAAGGGCAAAAAUAAAAUUAUGCUCUAAACCAGGACAAAUGGUAGGCAUCUAUUAUGUCUUAUUUCUUCCUUUAUUCUAGAUUCCUUUAAUUGAGACCUAAAUAAUGUUCAAACUUAUUUUGUAAGAGGAUGCCAAAUACAAUUUCACAUGCUCUCUUCAUAUUCAGGAAUAAUAAAUUAAACGCUCUAUUUGCCAGUUUUGGCACGAAGAAAGAUUUUGACUGUAUUAUGAAUAUCUGAUUUUUUUAUUAGAAUAAUUUGUAUUUCCUGAAAACUCAAUUAUAGCAUCAAAGAAAUAUACUCUUAUGCCAGAAUUAAAAUAAAUUAAUAUUUUGGAGUGAUCCACCAAUCAGGGUUACUCUUUGUCACCAACCCUUAUUGCUCUUUAUAUAUAACCUUUGGCAAUAUAGGAGAAAAUGGAGGGAAUUAUAAACAAUAACAUAUAAUAAUACAUAAAAAGCUUGCACAGUAUGCUGAUGAUGUAAUAUUAUACGGUUUCGACCAAAAACUGGCAAUAUCUAAAAGGUACAACUCAAAACCUCUCAUUUCUCUUACGUUACUGUACAUACUGCACCUAGCUUGAAGUGGUAAAACUGCAAAAUCAGGGGAAUCAGACAUAUGGGGUGCACAGUUUUAAAGCAACUAUGUCCAGGAUUGUUAUGUGAUUAUAGCAUCUUUAAAAUUAUUUAAAUUCAAAUUGUUUGCAGAAAUCCCAGUGAAAUGAUGUGUUGCUUUCAGCCCAUUCAUCUUAGUAUCCCCAGGUCAGAUCCAUGGGAGGUUGUAAAGUCGUUUCCCACUACUAUUUGAUGGACUCAAGAUAACCAAAAAUGUUUGGAAAGUAAAGCAUUGGAGAAGAGUAGUGCUACUUGUUAAAUUUUGAUGGACUUGAAGUGAAGCUCACACUGGUCUGCACCUCACUAUAUAUAUACUUUUCAAAUAGAUGAGGCUGGCAUAAAACCAACUGUAAACAGAAUGGUUUGAAAUCUUUCCCACAAAAAAAAAUGCAUCUGUAAAACAAAAAAAGAGAUACCCCUUGUACUCAUCUGAGAGCUGGUAUGUGCAGUAUAUAUUGCUAUUGUUAGAUUUUUUGUAACAGGCUUUUGGCCUGCGAGCACACACAGCUAUCUCUGUAGAGUGAGCCACUUACAGUUGCUCAAUAAUCCAUUUACUUGCCUUUGCUAUUGGCGUGACUGUAAUUUCAAUCACAUGGACAGUGGGAAGAUAAGUGGGGAGCUGUCUACUGAAAGCUGCCUGAUGGUGACAUGGCCUGAAAUGGAGUAAUGGUUCCUAGCUUGUUGCCUUAAUCAAGAAUCAUCAGGUUCACAACAGUGAUGGGAAAAGGAAAGAGGGAGAGGAAAACUACAAGAAUCAAAUACUCUUUUGAAAACAGAGUGAAAACACUGACAGCUGAUGGAAAGCUGACAGCCUCCUCUGAGGGGAAUUACCACUGUUGAUCUUUCUCACAAGUGCAGUGAGGUCACUCUUCACAUUAUUGGGUAAUGUGACAUUUUUCUGAAGUGUGCCCAACGUAAACAUAAUUUUCAACAAAAUUACUUUACACAGCUACAAAGCGCUGCAGAGCACUGUGGAUCACAUGUUAAACGUGUACUGUAUGUGAAAUAUUUAAUAGUUUAUUGGUUAUUAGCAUGCAAAUACAUUUUUAAAUGACUUUAAGACAUUCAGUUAAAUAAAAGGAACUAGAGCCUGAUUAAGUGAUCAAUUGUUUACUCUAUAAAAUGUCAGAAAAUAGUGUAACAUUUUCCUAAGUUCAAAGGAAGUCUUCAAAUGUCAUGUUUUGUCUGACCAACCGUACAAAAUCCAAUGGUAUUAAAAUUUGUAUCACGUUAGACAAAGAAAAGAAGAAGCUGCAACCAGAGAAUUUGUAGUAUUUUUAGUGGGAAAAAUUACUAAAACAAUUAAUUGAUUAUAAGAAUAGUUGCAGAUUAAUUCUCUGUUGAUCGAUUAAUCAACUAAUAAUUUCACCACUAAUCGGUCUGUGUAUAUGUUGGCUGAGAAGUAACAAAAAACUGCAGUACAGAAAUGUCAAAGAUAUGUUUGAGGUGAUUUAGAAACACUGACGUCAUUACAUAGUUUGUCCACCAGAGAACACUGAGUUUAGUUUUUAAAUGUUAACUGUCCCUCGCAGUAUUUUAUCAUUAUGUAUAUUAUGGCUACAAUUAUAUAAAAACAUGUUUUAAGGAAUCCUUAUGAAAAAUGUUUGUUUAUGUUAUGUAUUUAUGUAAAAACAAAAAUCAGCCAAUUUUUUAAAACUCUUAAAUAUCAGUAUCAGUAUUGAUAAAAAUUAAGUAUCCAUCAAGCUAUACAAGGAACUCACUUGGGUGGAAAAACAUCCACCAACACUUUUCAACCACCUUAAGUGAUUCAUUGGCCGCGUCUAGUUUAACAUCCUCACUUCCACCAGCUACUUGAACUGUGCAAAAAAUCCCCAAUUCCUAACCUGACAAAUAAACAAAAUUGAGGCAGCAGGCUAACUGCAUUCAUGCUAACUAG